AAUGAAAUGACAAAUCAAGAAACGGCUGAUCAAGUCACUGAUGAAGUGACUGAAAUAGCCGUUCGCAAUAGUGAAGCGGCUUUUCAAACAACAAAGCCAAGAAUUACUCGUAGACAUUCAUAUGCACCAAAGUGUAUGUAUAUCCCGAUGAAACAUUCUAUUCUUGUUCGAAUAAUAUUUAUUUGUGGGCUACGAUUUCGAUUCAAGAUAUCAACACACACCCUUAAUGAUUUGCCUAACAUCCAUUUUUAGACAGUUCAAAUGGUUCAAUUAACCUGGUUUAUCCGACAAAUUUUAUUGAAUUGGGACGUAUGUUUAGAGUGUAGUCUAGUUUGGUUUUGUGACUAAGUUCAAUGUGAUAACGUUAUCAAUACGUUGGAUCGAUUCAAAUAAUAAAACGAAAAGGUGAUCAACUUUUAUGGAAUAAUCGUUUUAUUUCAACUCUUUCACAAACAAUUUGAACAGGAUGUCGAUUCACAAAAAUCGAUUUAGAAAAAAAUAUGUUUACACCCCAAAAAAUAAAAAUGUUAAAUACACGUACUAUUUUAUCAAUUAUUCUGCCGUUUUGAUAUUCUCACAGCGUUAAUUAAUGCACAAUUUGUUUUUUCAAAAUACAAAAAAAAAAUAUUACAGUAAUAUUUGCCUAGAAUUGUAUGACACACGUAUUUUGUUUGUCCCAAAUGCACCUUGUAACACAAAAAAAUUAAACCGUGUGAAACUAAUUGAGUUGAAUUUGUUUAUGUGUAGUUUGCACAACUGCAAAUUAAAUACACCAACGUUUUCUUAAGCC